rnacentral:tRNA from 1 species
GAGAAGGUGGCGGAAUUGGUAGACGCGCUAGCUUCAGGUGUUAGUGUCCUUACGGACGUGGGGGUUCAAGUCCCCCCCCUCGCACCA